GUAGGGUGCGAGCGUUGUCCGGAAUUAUUGGGCGUAAAGAGCUCGUAGGCGGUGUGUCGCGUCGGUCGUGAAAACUUGGGGCUUAACUCUGAGCUUGCGGUCGAUACGGGCAUCACUGGAGUUCGGCAGGGGAGACUGGAAUUCCUGGUGUAGCGGUGAAAUGCGCAGAUAUCAGGAGGAACACCGGUGGCGAAGGCGGGUCUCUGGGCCGAUACUGACGCUGAGGAGCGAAAGCGUGGGGAGCGAACAGG
rnacentral:rRNA from 1 species